GUAGUAGGUACCAUGAGUAGAUGGUAAACAAGGUGGCUGAGGUAAGACUUGCUCGUGAGUAUGAGUGUUGCUCCUUGCCUACCUCAAACUAGCAGAUGACUGAGGUGGGUGUUCCACAACGGUAUUGGCAAAUGGAAGCAGCUGGUUUCUAAGCAACAAUAAAGUUCAACUUGUUGAGUUUUGAUUGCAAAAUGGUCCAGAUGAUAGUUGCUCAAUUUACUGUUAACAUGGGUGUUGAUAACUCUGCUACAACACUAAUUAAAAAUAGACUGAAUUUCCUCAUAAAUGA
rnacentral:lncRNA from 1 species